UGGCGGCACUAGCGCGGUGGUCCCAACUGACCCCAUGCCGAACUCAGAAGUGAAACGCCGUAGCGCCGAUGGUAGUGUGGGGUCUCCCCAUGCGAGAGUAGGGAACUGCCAGGC
rnacentral:rRNA from 1 species